AAAGUUAAAAGUUGCCAUUGCAGUUACUGUCGGACCAAAGUAACCCCUGAGAACUCUCCACAUUUGUAAAACGGACUGAAAGGUUCAGUGGCGUUUCCCACCUGGAACAGGACUAGUAAUGCUUUGAACGUGAAGAGAUGACUGUCCCCUGUGAGGAACUGUCGUGGGAAUGAGGCGAUAGGACUGGUUGAAGGAAAUGCUAAGAAGCUCUCUCCUUUGUGGACUGAGGGACCAGCUUCAACACCAGAGGGGUGCAAUCCCAGCAGAAAAGGAACACUGUCUCUAAUGUUGCAACAAAGUAACCAGCAUGAAGUUAGCAAGAAGAAAUCACGGUUGCAGCUGCUGAACACUGAUCCCUACCUGCUUUAAACUUAGAUCCAGAACGGAGCCGGCACAGUGACUUACGUCACUCCCACUGGCUUAAGAGAACAGAGAAUGACAUAUAGACAAGAUGCUACCUCCCAUGGAAAGGCCCCUAUACAUAAAGUCACUUUAUUUCUCUGUCACUUCCCUGAAAAUAAUUUAUGUAAUUAUGCUGUUAAUGAAGUCUAACAAC
ensembl:lincRNA 4930555A03Rik RIKEN cDNA 4930555A03 gene